rnacentral:rRNA from 1 species
AUUGAACGCUGGCGGCAGGCCUAACACAUGCAAGUCGAGCGGAAGAAGACUUCGGUCUUCGAGAGCGGCGGACGGGUGAGUAACGCGUGGGAAUCUGGCUCUUAGAGGGGGACAACUUGUGGAAACGCAAGCUAAUACCGCAUACGCCCUAAGGGGGAAAGCAGGGGAUCUUCGGACCUUGCGCUAAGAGAUGAGCCCGCGUCGGAUUAGCUAGUUGGUGGGGUAAAGGCCUACCAAGGCGACGAUCCGUAACUGGUCUGAGAGGAUGAUCAGUCACACUGGAACUGAGACACGGUCCAGACUCCUACGGGAGGCAGCAGUGGGGAAUAUUGGACAAUGGGGGCAACCCUGAUCCAGCCAUGCCGCGUGUGUGAAGAAGGCCUUCGGGUUGUAAAGCACUUUAAGUUGGGAGGAAAGGGUUGUGGCUAAUACCCAUAAUCUAUGACGUUACCAACAGAAUAAGCACCGGCUAACUCCGUGCCAGCAGCCGCCGCGG